rnacentral:lncRNA from 1 species
CUUGACCAGGAAACGAACUGGGGCCGCAGUGGUGAGAGCGCUGAAGAAUCUUAACCGAUAGACCACUAUAACGUGAGAUACUGCCUUUGUAUAAAAGAGUCUGAAGUUACUAACAAUUUCCAGCCUUCUCCAAGGACUGCUGGUGUCCCAAACUGCCUUCUCAUGACUUCUUUGAGGGUAACUUAGAAUUUUAGUGCAGAAACGCAAACUGUAAAAGGUGAAGUGAUUGGUGUAAAGUCAAGCAUACACCACGGAGAAGACGGAACUCCAGGCAGGACAGUCAAUAGUCAGUAAGAACAGAAACAUCAGCUGGGCUCCUGUGUCUUCUGGCUUAUGGAUGGGUUCGGUCAAUGGGAGGCACUGGCAGGUGGCUGGAGGGCAAGCGGAAGGAAGAAGCUGGAGUAUUUCUCUGCCCUACCUUCUCGGCUUUGAGUACAGGCAGUCUCACCAUUCCUGGCAUCCAUAAGGAUCAGCGAGAGCCGGUGAUGAUGACAGUGGGCUACCACCACCGCUACAACCCAACAACUUCAAUUCUACUCACAAGCUCUAUCAAGGAAUGGUCUCUACUGCUCUCCUAAGUUCAGAACCAGUCCUAGUGGUAACCCUGGCAGGCAUAUGAGAAGAGGAAGCAACUACCUGAAUCAGCUGACCGACUUAUUUACACCAACCAGCAACUGGGUCAGUGGGAGCAACAACAGAUGAUUCUCCCCUCGCUGCACAAUGGAAUCACCUAGAAAGCUUUAAAAACUACUGACACCUGAGUUCCACUCCCAGGGACUUUCAUUUUAAUUGGUCUGGGAUACAACCUGGACAUUGGGACUUUCUUAACUUUCUUGGGUUAUGCUAAUAUGAAGCCUAGAUUAAGAACCAUUGCUUUUGUACCUUUAUGCACCUCACAACAAACAGACUGCACUCAAGUUAGCAAGUGGGCUUUUAUGGCUAUUUAGAAUGGCCAGAGAAUACCUUCCUUUUAUCAGAGGAUGAGUAAAAACUACUGCACAUGUCAAUACUUUUACAAGCAAUGUACUCUUAGCGGUCAACAGUUUAUAUAAAAAUGUCCAGAUAUCAGUGCCCGAUGCUGUGGUUUUUGACUUUUCAGACAGAAAUGAACUGCCUACAUUCUAGUUCAUGGUAACAGUCAGACUCUAGUCAGGGAAAUGGACCCAUGAUAUAGCAAAAGGAAUUUAAUGUGGACAUUAGUUUAAAAGUGUUGGAAGAGCUGAAAGGCAAAACAAGUUUGGCAGGCAACCCAGAGAUGGGACAAAAAGAGGCUCCAUACUACCCAUAGAACUGGAGGGAAAAAGGGCCCUGAACUGCUAUGUAAGAAGCCCAGGAGACCAUAUGGAAGAGUACUGAGGUAUUGGACACAUAGGUGAAGAAACCAUUUUGGCCUUUCAGCCCACUCAAGCCUUCAAUGACUCCAGAUCCAGCCAAGAUCUGACUGCAAGUGGAUAAGAAACAUCAAGCAAG